UAAUUUCUGUUAGUUUCACUGUGCCUCUGUUUAGUUUCUGUUUCCAGGAUCUGUCCAUUGAAGACAGUGGGGUGCUAAAGUCUCCCACUAUUAUUGUGUGAGAUCCCAUUAGCAGCUGUUCUUGGUCUGGUAGCUGUCUUGUAUGAAGGUAUUAGAAGACUUUUCAAGUACAUGAACAGCCCUAAAGAUGACAAUAGGGAUAUGGGAGCCCAGAAAACAUCCAAACAGCAUUCAACAAAAUCCAAAUGAAAUCUACCAUGUAAUUAAGCAAAUCUAAAGAGUGUCUUUCACGGGAACCCAAAGAAGUCCUCCACCUUCUGGGCUUUCCUAAACCAAGGUCUCCCUUUUCUAACAAAUAAAGAAAUAUCUUACCCAUUGCUUG
ensembl:lincRNA Gm28347 predicted gene 28347